UACGAACAGUCCAAACGUUAUUCGGAUUCAUUGGGCUUAAAGGGUACGUAGGCGGCGCCGUCAGUCGGGUGUGAAAGCCCUCGGCUCAACCGAGGAACUGCGCCCGAUACUGCGGUGCUUGAGGGAGACAGAGGUAAGCGGAACUGAUGGUGGAGCGGUGAAAUGCGUUGAUAUCAUCAGGAACACCGGUGGCGAAAGCGGCUUACUGGGUCUCUUCUGACGCUGAGGUACGAAAGCUAGGGGAGCGAACGGG
rnacentral:rRNA from 1 species